rnacentral:rRNA from 1 species
CCUACGGGUGGCAGCAGUGGGGAAUAUUGCACAAUGGGGGAAACCCUGAUGCAGCAACGCCGCGUGAGUGAAGAAGGUUUUCGGAGUGUAAAGCUCUGUUAGCAGGGAAGAGGAAGGACGGAACCUGCAGAGGAAGCCACGGCUAACUACGUGCCAGCAGCCGCGGUAAAACGUAGGUGGCAAGCGUUGUUCGGAAUAACUGGGCGUAAAGGAUGCGGAGGCGGUUCAACAAGUGAUAGGUUAAAUAUAUAGGCUUAACCUGUAGAAAGCAUAUAAAACUGUUUAACUAGAGUGCAGGAGAGGUCAGUGGACUUCCUCGUGUAGCUGUCAAAUGCGUAGAGAUUAG